rnacentral:rRNA from 1 species
CAUGCCGUAAACGAUGAGUGCUAAGUGUAGGGGGUAUCGACCCCCCCUGUGCCGCAGUAAACACAAUAAGUACUCCGCCUGGGAAGUACGAUCGCAAGAUUAAAACUCAAAGGAAUUGACGGGGACCCGCACAAGCAGCGGAGCAUGUGGUUUAAUUCGAAGCAACGCGAAGAACCUUACCUGGACUUGACAUCCCCUGAAUGACUCGUAAUGGAGGAAGCCCUACGGGGCAGGGAGACAGGUGG